rnacentral:lncRNA from 1 species
CUUGUUUCAGCUCAAAGGCCUCAAGUGGGAGAAAACAGCUCUUGUUUGCUCAGUGUUUUGUGUGGUAGAGUAAGACCGAUGCUGUUUAAAUUCUAUGCACAGGCCAAUUAAAAUCACUAAGUGGUUCUAUCUUUUUUUUGUUCCAUCUUUUUUUUCCCCAAUGUAUUUUAUCCUGCCUGUUAAAACUCAAACUCCCAUCACCUAUCUACAUUAAAUGUAGAAAACGGGGCAGGGAUUUUUUCCAAGUUUUUUGCACAUUUAUUUACUGUAAACUCACCAGAAGAUUGAAGAGUUUUAGGCAUCACUGAAAAACUGGGUGAUUUUCUGAAUUGAGUGGAAAGCAGAUGGCUGUGAUUUCUACCUUAAUUUAUCCACCUGAGUAGCUGGGAGUCACAUCCUGCAGAAGCGGAGACCGGGAGGGGUGGACGUGGAAGUGAACGAGAGUGAUGGAGAUGGGCUCUUAGUGGCAGAGAUUUCCCUCUGGCACCUUGAGGAAAAAUUGACUUUUGAUCACAUGUGUCAACUUACCUGUUUCAUUUGAAUCUUUCCUAAAGGGUGGGAGUGAAGGGAAGGUCACUCCCCUUCAUCAUGUCUCAGCAGCUCUGGCCCAGACAGGGGCCUCCUAAAUAUGAAGCCUAAAACCAAGGUUCCCCUUGGUUAGAGGAUGGCAGACCACAUGGGUUGCAGAUGAGAUUGUGUCUUGAGCGUUUGUUGUGACUUAAAAUACAGCCCUUGUUCAAACAUCGUCAUUCAUCCAGUUGCUUGGUUUUAGAUUUCAUGCUUCUGUGUCCCCGCUGCUCCUAACACUUGGAAAGCCUCACCUCACCUCCUCUGCACCCCCAUCUUUCUGUGUCCAGGUACUUGUUCCUCAAACCAUAGUUCAGAACCCAAAUGUCAUUGGAUUAAAUGUCAUUGGAUUCAGCAAGGUGAUAAUCGUCUCUCUUUUUCUUGCAUCUCUAGAAUGAACCGCUUGUGUCUCUGUCAAGAUGCUGGCCAUUUUUUAUUCCAUCACCCUUGUGGAGUAGGCUGUAAUGUUCACUGCUAGAACCAUAAGCUCUGCAUCUUUCACAGAGGGUGCCUGGGGCCUGAGUUAAAGGCUCUGUUGAGCAAACAAAUGAAUGAAUGAAUGCACGAGUGAAUUUGAGGCUAUAGAAAUAUGCCUGAGUGCUCGAUACUGAUACUAGACUCGAUAUCACCCCACCAACCAUUGGGAAAGUGCUGGAUACCUCGCAGGCUUAAUUGAGCUGAGUUGAGGACAGUUGGAAGCUUCAGCAAGAUUCCUUCUCUGUUGGCAUAACCCAGGUCUUUGCUUUCUUUGCCUUACACUGCCUGGUUCUUCAGUGCUCAGAACCUCUUGAGAAAAGAGUGGUUUUACAUAAUGCUGUUGCCCCCCCCACCCCCCACCAGCCCACCAGAGGCAUUUCUUAAGUGCUGGUUAUACAUGGUGCUACAUGAAGGUCUCUGAAAAAAAAAAUUAUGUACACCCAGCUCCUGCUCUCUGAACACUGCAGUGACGCAAACAAAUGCACACACAAGAGCAUUCAACCUUUCAGCUUACAGGUGGGUCUCUAAGAAAGUAUUGAUGUCAGGUUGGUGAGGACCUGGAUUGGGAGAAAGAAGGGAAGUGGAUUCUGGAUCUUGCAUCCAAGUGCAGGUGCAGGUUCUGCCUUCUUCCUCUACUCAUUGAAGAAAGUGCUUUACUAACGCUGCAUACCAUGAGAGUGGCUUCUCUAAAACUCUAGUCCUGGGAGAGGAUGAAAAGCCACCUUUUCAAGGCUUAAUAGAAACAGGUGUGGACCAAAGCAUAAUGGCUUGGGAUUCUUUGAGAAGGAUUUUUGCUUUAAAAAUGGACAUCUUUGGAACUCAAUGAAGAAAAAAUUAAAAGAUGGCAUCUCUUCACAUGUCAUGUGUCACCUGGCUUAGGAGGACUCGGUGGUGUAGUGGCUAGAACUAUGUCUGGGGCAUCAGAACACCUGGAUUCUAGCCCUCAUUCUGCCAUCCAUUCUCUAUGAGGCAGCCCGUGUGUUGCUUUUACUUUCUUAUGGCUUGGUGCUCUUGUCUCUAAAUUAAGUGGUUAGAUUGCAUCAUCUGUAAGUCCCUGUGUAUUUCACAUAAACUGGGUGUUACCAGAUUGGUUUCUCAUUAAUUAUCUCACACAUUCUCUUCAUCAAGGGGUUUGGUGGGGCAGACUUUCUAUUUCUCAUAAAUUUUGGAAUGCCUGUAGGAUAUCUUGGCUUCCUUUUACUGGAUGGACAUUUUGUAUUCUAUAGCCCCAAAGCAAUUUGUUCCAAUUGACUUUGCUAUGUGGGGUUUUAUUUCCUGUUAUAACAUAGGAAAAAAAACCACCUUUCUUUCGGUUCAUCAUAAUUUAGGUAGUAUUGGGAUUGUCUAAGCCCUCCUCCAAUUUUUGAUCAUUAUUAAUGGAAAAAGAGAGGCCAUAACCCCCCCCACACACACACACACACAUACUGUUUAGUUUGGAAAAAAGAGCAUUUGCAAACUUUUUUUCUGGGUUAGGUUUAUAGUGACUAUUCUGUGCUGUACUGCUCACAAGUACUUGGUAAACUGAUGAAUGAUGACACAUUUAGAUAAUUUUUGGGUCUACUCCUUGCUCUCAAGGCCAAACAUGUAGGAUUCAGUUUCUUCCAGGUAUCUCCACUGGCUUUUUGUCAGAGGAUGUGGUCAUUCUUUUGGAUGUUGACCAGUGAAUUGGUAUUACCUCCCAAAUCCUUGAAGAUGUCUAAUUCAUGCCAUCCAUCCAUCCAUCCAUCCAUCCAUCCAACAGAUGUUUACUUAGGACUACUCUGUGCCAAACACCAUUCCAAUACAACGGUGAACAGAUAAGAAUCUCUGACCUUAUAGGACUUAUAUUCUAGUGGGGCAGUGGGGCUGGCAGAGAGCUAAUAACCAAAAUGAGGAAGCACGUAGUGUGUCAUGUGGUAGUAAGCACUAUGGAGAAAAAUAAAGCCAGGAAAAGGGGUAGGGGACAUAGCAAUUUUCAAUUUCCUUUAACUAAUUUUGGAAGAAGCUUAUAUUUGAGGCAAUAUGGAGCAGGGACUCCAAAUAUGGGGCAGAUCACAAAGGAACUUGCACUUCAGAUGAGGAGUCUAAAUUCUCUGCUAAGUAUGAUGGAAAACCUUGGGCAUAACAUGAUCACAUUUCCGUUUUGCAGUGACCACUGUGCCUACCGUGAGGAAAAUGGAGUAUGCAGGCAUAAGGGUGGAAUUGGGGCACAGGCUAGGAAGUUAUUAAAGUAAAUGAAGUAAUAAAUAGUAGCUCAGACAAGGGUGGUAGUAGUGGAGGUGGAGAGAAGGAGUCAGGUUUUGUACAUGUUUGUGAAGGUAGAGCCAAUCAGGAUUUACCGAUAGGUUGGAUGUGGGAUUUUGAGGGAAAGAGAAGAACCUGGUUCUUAAGUUUUUAGCUUGAACAACUGUGUGGAUGGUGAUAUUAUUUAAUGAGAAAGGGCACAGUGGGCAAGAACAUGUUUAUAUAAGGCAUCAAGUUUUAUUUCCAUCUUCUUAUGUUUGAGGUGUUUAGUUAUCGACAUGGAGAUAGUGUUUUGAAUAUGCCCAGACUGGACCUAAGGAGAGAAGUCAGAACUGUAUCUUCAUUCAUUCAUUCAGAAAUAUUUACUGAGCACCUACUACAUGCCAGACACUGAUACAGUCACUGGAGAUGUAGUGUUGAACGAAACAGACAUAGCCUCUGCCCUCAUGGAGCUUACUUUCUCGUGAGCAGUUUCAGACCUCAAGAAAUAGUGGGGCAUAUAAACCAGACCAGUUCAGAGUAUGAGAGCUGCUACGAAGAAAAUAAAACAGAGUGAUGAUUGUAGGGGGUCUUUCUAGAGUCUUAAUUCUUUCCUGAGCAUUACUGAAUUAUUUAUUUAUUAACAAGAAUAAAAGUAAUUCAUUUAGUACUACUGUGUUCUAGGCCCUAUGCUAAAUGCUGAUCCUAGAGAUCCUAGAGAGAAACUCCUAGUUUCGGAGUUCCCGUCGUGGCACAGUGGUUAACGAAUCCGACUAGGAACCAUGAGGUUGCGGGUUCGGUCCCUGCCCUUGCUCAGUGGGUUAAAGAUCCGGUGUUGCCGUGAGCUGUGGUGUAGGUUGCAGAUGCGGCUGGGAUCUGGCAUUGCUGUGGCUCUGGUGUAGGCCAGUGGCUACAGCUCCGAUUGGACCCCUAGCCUGGGAACCUCCAUAUGCCGCGGGAGCGGCCCAAAGAAAUAGCAAAAAGGCAAAAAGGCAAAAAAAAAAAAGAUAUUUUCCAGCCUUAAGGGGGUUAGUCUGGUGGAAGAGCCUGAUAAAUAGCUAAAAUAUAGAGCGGAAUGACAUGAGUGCUUUAUAGAGGAGCAAACAGCAGGUUGUGGGCAUCCUUUCUGAGGAAUUAGGGAAGAGUUCAUAGAGGAAUUUGAAUUGGGCCUUGAAUGGCCUUGAAUGGGCCUUGAAUGGAUUACAAGUGGCCGACUGCCACUUAAGGCAGACUUUCCUAAAAGCUGCAGUUGCCCAAAGGCUACCUCUUAGAGUUUGAGUUUAGGGUGAGUGUAUACUGGGAGGAGCUGUAACAGAAAAGAUUUACAUGUUGUCGAUGGGCAGAAAGGUUGAACUUGGUGAUCCUGAAUUACCUUCAACCUGACAGUCUGUGAUCCUACAGCGUUUAAAGUACUGCAAACCAGAAACUCUUGUAUUUGAGAUGUCUCUUCUGCCCAAAGCUGUUCAGACAAUGAAAUCGUAACACUCUGUGAAGAAAAGUUUAGCUGGGCUAAAAGAAAACAGUCAAAUCUCUAUCUGAAUAACUGCACAUUCCAGAUAGGUGUGGUAAUAAGCAGUGAAGUCUUAUUGUUGACUAUCUUAAAAGAUGUAAGCCCCUGUAUUUGGAAUGGAGUUGGGGGUCUUAUGGCCGAACCUGGAAGACUCAAUCUUUUUCUGCCUAAAAUUAGCUAAGCCAGGUGAGCUUGAAGUCAUCUGGAGCUCAGUUCUUCAUCUUGCUUCAUCCUGUGGUCAAUCAUGAAAUCAUGUGUGACUCUCGUUUGUGUUUUAUAUACGUGAUAUUUUCUCUAUUAUAUUGACCACUCUUGAGGCCCUUGAAUUUAGUGUGUAUGUUUAUGCAAACCAGCAUGGCCACUGUGGGUGGAGGACAAUAAUAAUGAACUAAUUCUAUUCUUUUUUAAGCAGUGUAAGUAUUGACUUUAUAGAGUGAGAAAUUUAUUGUCCACAGUCAAAUUGGAGAACCCAUGUUUGCUUAGCUUAAUGCAUAAGUCUCAUUCUAUCUUCAUUCUUUCAGAGCUUCUGGGCUAUCUCUAUUCCUGGUACCAGAGGAAGUAAAGUUGAUUUGGCCUGAUGUCUAAGCCUAACCCCUUGGUUCUGGCCCCACUUGCCCUGAAGUGGCUAACAGACCCCUAACUUCUCAAAUCUCCCAGGCUCUGUGCCUGAACUCUCUUCCCCUAGACUCACUUCUUAGGUUGCCAUCUUGUGAUAGUUCCUUAAAGCCAAAUAACAACUUUUCUGGAGUAUUCCAGGAUAGAGAACUUCACUUAUGAAUUCACUGUUACUGCUGAUAAGGAUGAUGGUAAAAGAAGAGAAAGCCCAACUGAUCUUUAAGCUAAUAGUUUUCUCCAGCAACAAAAGCAUGAAAUAAUUUGUAUUUUAAACUCUUUGCCUGUUUUUUUUCCUUCUUCAUCCCUUCUUCGUCUUCCUUCCAAAAAGUUGUAUAAUCCUGUUUUUUCAAUGAUUUUUAUUCUUCUAAACAGCUAUGUACGAGUUACCAGGCUCACACUUUAAUGGUAGAACAUCAAGUGUGUGCAGGUAUAACCUGAUCACUUUGUUGUACAGCAGAACUUGUCACAACAUUGUAAAUCAACUAGACUUCAAUAAAACUUAAGAAAAGUCCAACAUCAAGAUCCAGAAACUUAAUUGGAAGUCUGUGGAUAAUCCAGUGUUCUCAAAAACUUCCCCAAAUCAAAAUUAAUUCUAAAAUAUGUUAAAUAUUGUUUGAGAUAUGUGUGUGUAUCUGUGUGUCUGUGUAUGGUGGGGAAAAAGAAAUUAGCAAGCAACUGACUGUACCAAGUUGGCUUGUGAAGGCUCAGAGAGGUGAAAGGUGCUGAAAGACAGACCAGGGAAGAGGAGAAUUAAGAGUGGGCUGAGGGGAGUUCCUGUUGUGGCGCAGUGGUUAACGAAUCCGACUAGGAACCAUGAGGUUGCGGGUUCGGUCCCUGCCCUUGCUCAGUGGGUUAACGAUCCGGCGUUGCCGUGAGCUGUGGUGUAGGUUGCAGACGCGGCUCGGAUCCCGCGUUGCUGUGGCUCUGGCGUAGGCCGGUGGCUACAGCUCCGAUUCGACCCCUGGCCUGGGAACCUCCAUAUGCCGCGGGAGCGGCCCAAGAAAUAGCAACAACAACAACAACAACAAAGACAAAAAAGACCAAAAAAAAAAAA